rnacentral:rRNA from 1 species
UUCCGUAAGUGAACCUGCGGAAGGAUCAAUGUCGAAACCUGCAAAGCAGAAAGACCAAGCGGACCCCAUU